AUUUGUUUGUUUAGUGUGUAGUGUGAUGACUGCGUGUUCCUGCCACUGUGUGGCAUGUGCCCCCCACACCUUGUUAUCACACUGGCACAGGACCGUCUGAUG